GGAUCACUAUCUUCCUUACUUUGAAAGCCCUCCAGGAUUUCUACCACCUGUCUCAUAAGGGGUCUGCCUUUUGGAUUUUGGCUCAAACAUUGAUAAGUCAAAUUAGCAACCUUCAUUACAGUUCUAGUUGAAUAUUGUCCUUCUAUUCUAGGAUCCAAUAUUUUCAAAAGUUUCUUGUUGUGGCUCAACAGCGGACGAGCCCACUCAACCAGGUUGUGCUCUCGACUUGGUCUGGUCUUGUCCAUUAC
rnacentral:misc_RNA from 1 species